rnacentral:piRNA from 1 species
UGUCUGAUGUAAUGCCGGAUAUCGCGAAU